CAACAGUUACUGAACCCUAUCAAACUCCGAAUGCCAUAUACUUGUACCCCGGCAGUCAGACUACGAAUGAUAAGAUCCGUGGUCAAAAGGGAAACAGCCCAGACCAUCAGCUAAGGUCCCAAAGUGUAAGUUAAGUGGGAAAGGAUGUGGGAUUUCUAAGACAACUAGGAUGUUGGCUUAGAAGCAGCCACUCAUUUAAAGAGUGCGUAAUAGCUCACUAGUCGAGAGAUCCUGCGCCGAAGAUGUAACGGGGCUCAAACUUACCACCGAAGCUAUGGAUGUGUACUUUGUACACGUGGUAGAGGAGCUUUCUGUACAGGUUGAAGUCAUACCGUAAGGAGUGGUGGACAGUACAGAAGUGAGAAUGCUGGCAUAAGUAGCGAAAAACAAGUGAGAAUCUUGUUGACCGAAUAUCUAAGGUUUCCUGGGGAAGGCUCGUCCUCCCAGGGUUAGUCGGGACCUACGCCGAGGCCGAAAGGCGUAGGUGAUGGACAACUGGUUGAUAUUCCAGUACCACCAUAAUGCGUUUGACAAAUGGGAUGACGCAGGAGGAUAGGA
rnacentral:rRNA from 1 species